ACAGAGGGUGCAAGCGUUAAUCGGAAUUACUGGGCGUAAAGCGCGCGUAGGUGGUUUGUUAAGUUGGAUGUGAAAUCCCCGGGCUCAACCUGGGAAUGGCAUUCAAAACUGGUGAACUAGAGUAUGGUAGAGGGAAGGGGAAUUCCAGGUGUAGCGGUGAAAUGCGUAGAUAUCUGGAGGAACAUCAGUGGCGAAGGCGCCUUCCUGGACUAAUACUGACACUGAGGUGCGAAAGCGUGGGUAGCAAACAGG
rnacentral:rRNA from 1 species